rfam:Schistosoma mattheei strain Denwood, Zambia genome assembly, scaffold: SMTD_scaffold0014080
UUACUGCCGAGGAGUCCCACAAUAGGACGAAACGGCCGUUCAGUGC